UGUCCUGUAGUGUAAGGGUAGCACACCAGAUUCUGACUCUGAUAGUAUGGGUUCAAAUCCUAUCGGGACAGCUA
rnacentral:tRNA from 1 species